UGUGCGAGAGCACGAUGAGGGGAUCCCAAGUGCUGGCACGUAAGUGUCAGCUGUUUCUUAGUCUAAAAAACUGAGAGAGUAAGAGCCGGGUAAGACGGGUGCCAGCCGCCGCGGUAAUACCUGCAGCUCAAGUGGUGGCCGCUAUUAUUGGGCCUAAAACGUCCGUAGCCGGUUUAGUAAAUGCCUGGGUAAAUUGUGUAGCUUAACUAUACGAAUUCCGGGUAGACUGCUAAACUUGGGACCGGGAGAGGCUAGAGGUACUCCUGGGGUAGAGGUGAAAUUCUGUAAUCCUAGGGGGACCACCAGUGGCGAAGGCGUCUAGCUAGAACGGGUCUGACGGUGAGGGACGAAGCCCUGGGGCGCAAACCGGAUUAGAUACCCGGGUAGUCCAGGGUGUAAACGCUGCUUGCUUGAUGUUAGUUGGGCUCCGAGCCCAACUAGUGUCGGAGAGAAGUUGUUAAGCAAGCUGCCUGGGAAGUACGGUCGCAAGACUGAAA
rnacentral:rRNA from 1 species